GGAUGAAAUUCUAAUUCCAAGUCUAUAUAAAGGAGCCUCCUCUCCUUUGGCAUGAUGGAUGAUCAAUUCUCUUACUAUUUUUUGAUUUUUUAUAGCUCUUCUCCUUCUCCUCUUUUCUUCCUUCAGAUUUUCUACUACUUUGGAGUGUCUAAGGUGCUUGUAGAAGAAAAAAGAGAUCAGCUGUUGAAGUUGCUUGCAGACUAGCAUCUCCAAGUCCC
rnacentral:lncRNA from 1 species